CUUUAUUGUUUCCUUCCUUGGUUCGUUGGUUCCUUCCUUCCUUUCCUUCCUUCAUGUCGCAGUAGUUUCGUUAGGGGACUGUUGGGCCUCGCCGGCGUCUGCGCUCUGCUGAGUGACAUUCUAGUUUUGCUCCGUUCCUACUGGACGUGUGAAACCAGGUUGGGUUUUAAAUCCUCAGUACUAAAGCUUCAAGGUCGUCUUCCUCUCAGACCAGGAGAGAAAUCCCUCCACACUCUCAGUCGGUUACAGUCAGGAGAAAUCUCCCUGAAAACCAGUUAACUGUUGGAGCCGACUACUGACGACCGAUGUUCUCUCCGUUUGCUGUGACGCCUUGCUUUUUUCAAGGAUUCCAGCGACGGUCUUCAGAGGGAAUGUUUCAGCAGAGAGCUGAUGGCGUCUGAUGUCCUGAUCAAAGCGUGCGGAGCUGGUUCUGAGCUCGCCGGGGAUGAAAUCGCGUCAGGGUAGGUCGCUGCCGAAGC